GAGGGCGCAAGGCCUCUCCGCCAACAUGGUGGCUGGGCAGCCGGCCUGUCCCGUGCUGGCCCGCUGGGGCUGAGCAGGUGCCGAUGCAUCACUGCCCUGAUGGGUCUGUCAAUAACACCGAGCAGGGGAGGGCAGCUCUCACAAUUUAAUCGCUCGAGGCGCCGUGUGUCGCUGCAUACGUGGCAGCUUAAAGCAGGGCCAGGGCCAAGGAGGACUCCUAGUUUUCCCACCCAGACGUGCAGAACAGACUGGGCUAAGCAGAAGACCCUCUAGCAGAGACGUGCCAUGGAAAGGACUACUUCCCAAGGACUCGGUUCCCUGAGGGCAUCACAGCAAUGCUCCUGCUGCCUUCUGCUGCUGCUUCUUCUGGAGGGGACAGAUCCCUGCCUACCAUCCACAGGGCUGCCCAAGGCUCAGCUGAGUCCAAUCCAUUUAUCUCCUGUAACUGUUAUUAAAUCUGACCUGAAGUGGGGGAAAAAAUAGCAUUUUUAGGAUUGCAGGAAAUUAAGAAACCUCUUUAGAGAUGAAAGAAAUGCUCUGUACUGUUACUCUAGGGAAGGAUUGUGUUCCACUGGUUUCAUUGUCAUUUAACGUAGAACAUAAAGGUUAAUGCUGAAUAAAAUAAUACUCAUGUUGAUUAUUUUAA